AGUGAACGCUGGCGGUAGGCCUAACACAUGCAAGUCGAACGGCAGCACAGUAAGAGUUUGCUCUUACGGGUGGCGAGUGGCGGACGGGUGAGGAAUACAUCGGAAUCUACUUUUUCGUGGGGGAUAACGUAGGGAAACUUACGCUAAUACCGCAUACGACCUACGGGUGAAAGCAGGGGAUCUUCGGACCUUGCGCGAUUGUAUGAGCCGAUGUCGGAUUAGCUAGUUGGCGGGGUAAAGGCACACCAAGGCGACGAUCCGUAGCUGGUCUGAGAGGAUGAUCAGCCACACUGGAACUGAGACACGGUCCAGACUCCUACGGGAGGCAGCAGUGGGGAAUAUUGCACAAUGGGCGCAAGCCUGAUCCAGCCAUGCCGCGUGGGUGAAGAAGGCCUUCGGGUUGUAAAGCCCUUUUGUUGGGAAAGAAAAGCAGCAGGUUAAUACCCCGCUGUUCUGACGGUACCCAAAGAAUAAGCACCGGCUAACUUCGUG
rnacentral:rRNA from 1 species